CCAUCCGCCUUGGGAGUUCCGUCCCAAGACUGAAACUCAAAUGAAUUGACGGGGGGCCGCCCAAGCCGUGGGGCAUGUGGUUUAAUUCGAAGCUACGCGAAGGACCAGCACAGGUUUUGACAUCUAGUUGACCAUUCAGAGAUAAAAUUUCCCUUUCGGGGGCAUCGUUGCCAGGUGGUGCAUGCUAGUCGUCAGUUGGUGUCGUGAGAAGUGGGGUUAAGUCCCGCAACGAACGCAACCCUUAAUUUUAAUUGCCAUCAUUUAGGUGGGCUCUCAAAGGAGACUGCCGGUGUCAAACCGGAGGAAGGUGGGGAUGUCGUCAAAUCAUCAUGCCCUUUAUGACUUGGGCUACACACGUGCUACAAUGGUCGAUACAAACGGUAGCCAACUCGCGAGAAGGAGCUAAUACGAUAAUGUCGUUCUCAGUUAGGAUUGUUGGUUGCAACUCGCCUACAUGAAGCCGGAAU
rnacentral:rRNA from 1 species